rnacentral:rRNA from 1 species
GAUGAACGCUAGCUACAGGCUUAACACAUGCAAGUCGAGGGACCGGCGCACGGGUGAGUAACACGUAACCAACCUGCCCUUUACUCGGGGAUAGCCUUUCGAAAGAAAGAUUAAUACCCGAUAUAAAGGAUGGGGAUGCGUUCCAUUGGGUUGUUGGUGAGGUAACGGCUCACCAAGCAUUCGAUGGAUAGGGGUUCUGAGUGGAAGGGCAACCACAUUGGAACUAAGGCCCGGUCCAAACUGGUACGGAAGGGAGGAGUGAGGAAUACUAGUCAAUGGGCGGUAACCUUGACAAGCCACGUAGCGUGAAGGAUGAUGGCUUAUUGGUGGUAAACUACUUGGAUAGAAGAAUAUGUAUCAUAAGAAUAAGGAUCGGCUAACUCCGUGCCAGCAGCCGCGGUAAUAC